CAAAUAUUUCGAUUAAAACACAAUAUUAUUAAUAUAUAAAGAUCGGUGAUUUUUUUCCGUAGUUGUUCGCCGGGGGAGUUUUUCUCCAGUGAUUUUUAUUCCACAUUCAAUGGUCGUGCUGCAUGGGUAACGAACCCUCGGAGUAGAUCCUUUUUUUAAAUAUUUCAAAUAUUAUUUCCCUAGAACAGCCGAACAUCAAACAAAUAGCAAUAUAAUUAUAAUAUAAUAAUAAAUGUGCAUAUAUUGAAUUUACGUAAUAAUUUAAAAGUUUUCAACGUCACGCAUGGUAACUAUAAUUUAAAUUUAUUUCCACAGAAAAAAACAUUUAUUUAUAAGGAAGUUAUAAAAUAAUGCAUUUGAUUAAGUAAGCAAUUUCUACAUAGCUUAACAUUUUUAAUGUAUCUGAAAUAUAUGUAAACGAAUGUGAAUGUAUGUAUCAAGUUAUAAUCAUUAAUUUUCCAGAACCGGAUCAAUAAUUUAGGUACCCAUUAGUGUUGGAUUCAAGUGAUGUUCGUUGGAUAGAAGUAUACGAAAAAAUUACCAUAUGAAAUUGGACAAAUGAUAAAAGUAUCGACAGACAUCAUACAAGUGUGAAACCUGUAUAUGUAAUGUUGAAGACGAACGAUUACUUAAAUAUGCGCUACGGUUAUCUAUACCUAUAUGGCAAUAAUACUCAAUAGACUAUAAUUUUGGUCCUUCAACUGGUGUCCAGAUUGUUAAAAUCGAAAAAUAUACUAACCUGACUAAUUUAUAUAGAUAUAAUAUGGAAACAUUAAACAUUGAAUUUUAAACCUUUUGAAGUAGGGUAUUUACGGUGCAAUGCAAAUAUGCAAUGCAUUACAUCGAUUUGCACAGUCAUGUAAAAUAUAUAAGAUAAUAUGGUGGUAGUAUUUAAACUUCGAAUGGGAGUUCUGCAGUUUUAUUACGUGGAACCACGAACACCGUCGUUUGCAUCGGAGUGGGCUACAAAAUGUUUUGGCUGAGCCAAAUAUACACGAAGUACGAGGCAUAGAUGUAGGAACAAUUAGUAAAAGUAAAGUACACCAGUAGCCAGUAGGUAUACACGUAAACGGUAUAAUAAGUUAAAUAGUUAAAAAGUCCAUUUUAAAAAGUGUGACAGAAAGUCCUGGUUCAUUUUUUAUUGUCCGACAAAACUCCGAAGAUACAAAAUAUUAUACCAUAUAAUUUAUUAUACUAC